UCGAAGCGAUGAUUUGGAGUUAUUGCCAGUCUUCAGACCGAACGUGUACGCUUCGCUGACGAGUGUGGCUGUGUUUUGUGAGUGUGUAAUCCAUGGACAUGCAGGUGCCUCGUACUGUCGAACUGGAGGGUGAUAGACACUUGUGCUCCCUUGUAGAGUGAGACAACUGAGAGUGAUCGUGACUGAGGAUCGAGGCGUCUUGCCUUCCUCAACUCUGGCGUCUCUGGUGUGCCAGCGUCACUGUCUUCAUCACUACUAAAACUUCUUUUCUGCGCUCAUUUUUGUUUCAAAACUUGAGAUCCAAGACUGUAGGUAUUAAGUGAACGAAAAAAUCAAUGCGGUGUCACUCGUGCACGGUGUUAAUCCAUAGGCCGCCAAGGAAGGACUGAGUGAAAAACUGUGUUACACGGGCGAGGCUACUUGGUAUGGGUCUACCGUACUACGAGUCUGCGACGAAACCAAGCCGUGUGCAGGACAGGUCCAGGGGCGCCCGACGAACGCUGUGGUGCCUCGUAUCCACUUGCCUUAUAUCCUUCUUAUUAUAUUCUCCUUGUCAAAUGUAUUUAGUACCAAAUUUAGUCAUAUUAUGUUAAAGUUGUACCAAAAGUACUUAAGACUCCUUAAUGUACCGAAUUUGGUACGUUAGUACCAAAAACGGCAAUACUGGAACUUUAGUAAACAUUGCAUUGC